AUUGAACGCUGGCGGCAUGCCUUACACAUGCAAGUCGAACGGCAGCACGGGAGCAAUCCUGGUGGCGAGUGGCGAACGGGUGAGUAAUAUAUCGGAACGUGCCCAGUCGUGGGGGAUAACGUAGCGAAAGCUACGCUAAUACCGCAUACGAUCUAUGGAUGAAAGCGGGGGAUCGCAAGACCUCGCGCGAUUGGAGCGGCCGAUAUCAGAUUAGGUAGUUGGUGAGGUAAAGGCUCACCAAGCCGACGAUCUGUAGCUGGUCUGAGAGGACGACCAGCCACACUGGGACUGAGACACGGCCCAGACUCCUACGGGAGGCAGCAGUGGGGGAAUUUUUGGACAAUGGGCGCAAGCCUGAUCCAGCAAUGCCGCGUGCAGGAUGAAGGCCUCGGUGU
rnacentral:rRNA from 1 species